rnacentral:rRNA from 1 species
CUACGUGCCAGCAGCCGCGGUAAUACGGAAGGUCCAGGCGUUAUCCGGAUUUAUUGGGUUUAAAGGGAGCGUAGGCUGGAGAUUAAGUGUGUUGUGAAAUGUAGACGCUCAACGUCUGAAUUGCAGCGCAUACUGGUUUCCUUGAGUACGCACAACGUUGGCGGAAUUCGUCGUGUAGCGGUGAAAUGCUUAGAUAUGACGAAGAACUCCGAUUGCGAAGGCAGCUGACGGGAGCGCAACUGACGCUUAAGCUCGAAAGUGCGGGUAUCAAACAGGAUUAGAUACCCUGGUAGUCCGCACAGUAAACGAUGGAUGCCCGCUGUUGGUACCUGGUAUCAGCGGCUAAGCGAAAGCAUUAAGCAUCCCACCUGGGGAGUACGCCGGCAACGGUGAAACUCAAAGGAAUUGACGGGGGCCCGCACAAGCGGAGGAACAUGUGGUUUAAUUCGAUGAUACGCGAGGAACCUUACCCGGGCU